rnacentral:lncRNA from 10 species
AGCCCUCAUGCUUGCUGUGCACUAUGACCCGCCAGGUAUUGUCAACAUCCUUCUUAAGCAAAAUGUUAAGAGCUCUACUCAAGACAUGUGUGGAUGAGAGGCUGAAGACUUCCCUCUUGUGGGUUGACAAAACGGAGUCUCACUCCGUUGCCAGCCUGGAGUGCGUUGGUGUGAUCUCGGCUCACUGCAUCCUCCACGUCCCAGGUUCGAGCGAUUCUCCUGCCUCAACCUCCCACGUAGCUGGGACUACAGCAUGUCCCCGAGAAAGUGUCGGAGCCUUUACCUCGACCUUCCCAUGA